UACAGAGGGCGCAAGCGUUGUCCGGAAUUAUUGGGCGUAAAGAGCUCGUAGGUGGUUUGUUACGUCUGCUGUGAAAACCUAGGGCUUAACCCUGGGCUUGCAGUGGAUACGGGCAGACUAGAGGUAGGUAGGGGGAGAAUGGAAUUCCUGGUGUAGCGGUGAAAUGCGCAGAUAUCAGGAGGAACACCGGUGGCGAAGGCGGUUCUCUGGGCCUUACCUGACACUGAGGAGCGAAAGCGUGGGGAGCGAACAGG
rnacentral:rRNA from 1 species